GAUGAACGCUGGCGGCGUGCCUAAUACAUGCAAGUCGAGCGAACGGACGAGAAGCUUGCUUCUCUGAUGUUAGCGGCGGACGGGUGAGUAACGCGUGGAUAACCUACCUAUAAGACUGGGAUAACUUCGGGAAACCGGAGCUAAUACCGGAUAAUAUUUUGAACCGCAUGGUUCAAAAGUGAAAGACGGUCUUGCUGUCACUUAUAGAUGGAUCCGCGCUGCAUUAGCUAGUUGGUAAGGUAACGGCUUACCAAGGCAACGAUGCAUAGCCGACCUGAGAGGGUGACCGGCCACACUGGAACUGAGACACGGUCCAGACUCCUACGGGAGGCAGCAGUAGGGAAUCUUCCGCAAUGGGCGAAAGCCUGACGGAGCAACGCCGCGUGAGUGAUGAAGGUCUUCGGAUCGUAAAACUCUGUUAUUAGGGAAGAACAUAUGUGUAAGUAACUGUGCACAUCUUGACGGUACCUAAUCAGAAAGCCACGGCUAACUACGUG
rnacentral:rRNA from 1 species